GACGAACGCUGGCGGCGUGCCUAAUACAUGCAAGUAGAACGCACAGUUUAUACCGUAGCUUGCUACACCAUAGACUGUGAGUUGCGAACGGGUGAGUAACGCGUAGGUAACCUGCCUGGUAGCGGGGGAUAACUAUUGGAAACGAUAGCUAAUACCGCAUAAUAUUAAUUAUUGCAUGAUAAUUAAUUGAAAGGUGCAAUUGCACCACUACCAGAUGGACCUGCGUUGUAUUAGCUAGUAGGUGAGGUAACGGCUCACCUAGGCGACGAUACAUAGCCGACCUGAGAGGGUGAUCGGCCACACUGGACUGAGACACGGCCCAGACUCCUACGGGAGGCAGCAGUAGGGAAUCUUCGGCAAUGGACGAAAGUCUGACCGAGCAACGCCGCGUGAGUGAAGAAGGGUUUCGGAUCGUAAAGCUCUGUUGUAAGAGAAGAACGGGUGUGAGAGUGGAAAGUUCACACUGUGACGGUAUCUUACCAGAAAGGGACGGCUAACUACGUG
rnacentral:rRNA from 1 species